rnacentral:rRNA from 1 species
UACGGAAGGCAGCAGUGGGGAAUAUUGCACAAUGGGCGCAAGCCUGAUGCAGCCAUGCCGCGUGUAUGAAGAAGGCCUUCGGGUUGUAAAGUACUUUCAGUCGUGAGGAAGGUGUUAAGGUUAAUAACCUUAGCAAUUGACGUUAGCGACAGAAGAAGCACCGGCUAACUCCGUGCCAGCAGCCGCGGUAAUACGGAGGGUGCGAGCGUUAAUCGGAAUUACUGGGCGUAAAGGGCACGCAGGCGGUUAAUUAAGUUGGAUGUGAAAUCCCCGGGCUUAACCUGGGAAUGGCAUUCAAGACUGGUUAGCUAGAGUCUUGUAGAGGGGGUAGAAUUCCAUGUGUAGCGGUGAAAUGCGUAGAGAUGUGGAGGAAUACCGGUGGCGAAGGCGGCCCCCUGGGACAAAGACUGACGCUCAUGUGCGAAAGCGUGGGGAGCAAAC